rnacentral:rRNA from 1 species
GACGAACGCUGGCGGCGUGCCUAAUACAUGCAAGUUGAGCGCUGAAGGUUGGUACUUGUACCGACUGGAUGAGCAGCGAACGGGUGAGUAACGCGUGGGGAAUCUGCCUUUGAGCGGGGGACAACAUUUGGAAACGAAUGCUAAUACCGCAUAAAAACUUUAAACACAAGUUUUAAGUUUGAAAGAUGCAGUUGCAUCACUCAAAGAUGAUCCCGCGUUGUAUUAGCUAGUUGGUGAGGUAAAGGCUCACCAAGGCGAUGAUACAUAGCCGACCUGAGAGGGUGAUCGGCCACAUUGGGACUGAGACACGGCACAAACUCCUACGGGAGGCAGCAGUAGGGAAUCUUCGGCAAUGGACGAAAGUUUGACCGAGCAACGCCGCGUGAGUGAAGAAGGUUUUCGGAUCGUAAAACUCUGUUGGUAGAGAAGAACGUUGGUGAGAGUGGAAAGCUCAUCAAGUGACGGUAACUACCCAGAAAGGGACGGCUAACUACGUG